rnacentral:rRNA from 1 species
AUGGACGGCCAAGGCCUUUUAUUUUCGCAGCGCGGCACGAAGAAAACCAACCCCAAAACGCCCCGAAGCAUGGCAACCGUACCAUGUUGCGCCUCCUUCCUCCUGCUGCUCGUGCUACCCUGCUGCAUCCUGCACCCCGUGGCCGCCCAGGCCGCUGACGAGAGGCAUUCGCUGAUCCAGAUCAAGCGCGCGUUGGGCGAUCCGCCCGUGCUCGCGGCAUGGAAUGGCCCGACCGACCACUGCACCUGGCCCAACCUGACCUGCGACGCGUCGUCUGGGCGCGUCACCAGCCUCUCCCUCGCCAACACCGGCGUCGUCGGCCCGUUCCCUGAUGCAAUCGCCGGCCUCUCCCGCCUCACCAGCCUCAACAUCUCCAACAAUGACAUCACCGACGCCUUCCCGACCAGCGUGUACCGGUGUGCUCCACUCCGGCACCUCAAUUUGUCUGAUAAUUACAUCCACGGCGAGCUCCCCGUGGACAUCGGCAACGGCAUGCCACUGCUGCAGGCAAUGAACUUGUCCGGUAACCAGCUCUCUGGCGAGAUCCCAAGGAGCGUAGCCACGUUCAGCUACCUAACGCAGCUGAACAGGAAUCAGCUCGCCGGCGAGAUACCGGCUGAAUUGGGCGCCAUGCGGGUGCUCGACGCACUGGACCUGUCAUCAAACAAGCUAUCCGGCGACAUACCGCUGCCGCUCGGACUACAGCUCAGCUCGCUCAACCUGUCAUCCAACCAGCUCGACGGCCAGGUACCGGCAGGGCUCGCCACCGCCGCUUACGAUCGGAGCUUCCUUGGCAACCUCUGCUGGAAUUUUGUCUAUUUUGGACCAGUCCAAUAG